rnacentral:rRNA from 1 species
GACGAACGCUGGCGGCGUGCUUAACACAUGCAAGUCGAACGGUAAGGCCCUUCGGGGUACACGAGUGGCGAACGGGUGAGUAACACGUGGGUGAUCUGCCCUGCACUUCGGGAUAAGCCUGGGAAACUGGGUCUAAGACCGGAUAGGACCACUGCCUGCAUGGGUGGUGGUGGAAAGCUUUUGCGGUGUUGGAUGGGCCCGCGGCUUAUUAGCUUGUUGGGGGGGUUGUGGCCUACCAAGGGGACGACGGGUAGCAGGCCUGGGAGGGUGCCCGGCCACACGGGGACUGAGAUAGGGCCUAGACUCCUACGGGAGGCAGCAGGGGGGAAUAUUGCACAAUGGGCGCAAGCCUGAUGCAGCGACGCCGCGUGAGGGAUGACGGCCUUCGGGUUGUAAACCUCUUUCAGCACCGACGAAGCGCAAGUGACGGUAGGUGCAGAAGAAGGACCGGCCAACUACGUGCCAGCCGCCGCCGUAA